UUGCUGUUCCCAGGGUUUGGGAUAACAUAAUCACCGUACCGCUUCAUCCCGUGUACCUUUUCAUCUCUGGCAAUUUAAAACCGUUUACGCGCCCUUACAGAUAUGUACAAAUUUGCCGAAAGCAGAGCAUAAUUUUGGUCUACCUAAUUGGAUCGACGGUUCACUGUCAGCAUACGUGCCCCCAUCCAGCAAUUUACAAUUUUUUCUUGCCGUAUUGAUUGCAUUCAUCCAGCGACUGCAUGUCUGCUUGGAUGAGUGAGCGAAGCCAAAUGAUACAAAUGAUUUCAGCUGUAUUUAUCGCGUGUGUACGCUUAACUACUGAGACUGCCGCUGAUAGACAAAUCCUUAUUGGCCAGGAUGCAGCAACUGAUUCGCGGAAUUUUAAUAAUUGACCCGCCCAGUUAUCAAAGUUAUUCUGGUUUUCCCCAUGUUCCUGAUGCAGCCACGAGCAAGUGGUGCAAAGCCAGAUUGCAAUUUCAGGAACCAAGUGAAUGUCUUACAUCGUUGAUUGCAGCCAUUCAAGGACAUACAAAUAUCCAAUAAAAUUGUAUGAGACACCACCCAAGCUGCUUAAUUAUUUAGAAUAUAAUUAAUACCAAGACAUUGGGGAGUAGAAAGGGUA